rnacentral:lncRNA from 1 species
UAUUCUGUUGCAACCGGUAUUACGAUGGGACGGCGAGCUGAAAACAAACGAGUUUAAGAAAAGAUUUUGGGACUCGUCAUCUUAAUUUAUUUUGGAAAACCAUAAAAUAAAACAUGGUCUAUGAAAACGAAAUUUUAAGUUCGGGAAUCAGUUACACGUAAGGAAUGUAUUAACAUCUUAUGUGUGUAUCCAAAAGCAGUACCUUUAAUUAAAUGUAUAAAGUUGAC